rnacentral:snoRNA from 1 species
CCCCUCUCACGGUCACACCUGGAGAGUUUCCAGUACUCUACCAGUCUCGAUUACAGGAGGGAGAGUCAAGCAGAGGCCUACCCAUUCCAAUCCUAGCUUGGGCAGUGGCCACUGAGUGGAAGGUUAUCUGCUACAAGA